GAAAAUCAGCGGUGUUUUGAACACUGGAAGCGGAAGUUGACGCAGAGGUCAAGCACAAAGAGAGGCAGAUGAGAGAGUCUGAUCUGAGUAAAGCCGAAACGUGGCUGAAGCAGCGUUUAGUGUUUAGCGUAGCGUGUAUUCCCCCGGUUUCCCUGCCAAGUUUUUCCCAUUAUUUUAUCGGUCUCGCGAAUCAGACUCGUUUGAUGUGAAACUUCGCUGAAAGUGGGGAUUAAGACGAAGCUCAGAACCGUGGCCAAUAUCGUUCGUCAGAGCUGCUCUGUUGCUCUCAUGAGAUACGCGGGUUCCCCGUACAAAACAUUAUAUUUGCUUUAAACGGCCAGACGUUUUUGAAAUGAAACGGCACACGUCCACUUUUAUAUUUUGGACUUAGCCGCGUAUUUGCGCUCUGAUAAUGACCGCCUUUUGAAAGCGGAUUUACCAUGUAAUCACAAAAAAAGUCUAGAAGUGCAGCUGAUUGAGGGAUUGAGGCGGUGACCCUGACAGAGAAGAAUUAUGAACGAUGCGGCUGACCUGGAAAAGGUAACUCAACAAUGGACAAGCUGAUGGCAUCACAAUGCAGCGGUUCCUCAACAGUGGGUCGAGGGCCUACAGUACCGAUGGAUCAUGGGCGGCAGUGUAGUAUAAUGGGUGUGACCGACUUUGCGUUAACAAAUCAUCCAGACGCCCACAAUUCCAGUGUCAACAAAAAUGGCGGCUCUUGGCGGCAAGGACCGUUUGGGCCUGGAAGUUAUCAGAGGAGCCUUUUUUUGUCUCCCUGACACCCCUCUCGCUCGUAUUCGGAAAGGGAGUAACGUUUCAUCCUUGCUCGGAGAGGAACGUCUGUUUCGUGUCCGUCGGCGUGGAAAGAGCAGGCCCCGCCCGGAGCACAUUCGGUACAAAGAGGGGGGGGAGUCUAAGAGACUCGACGAAAUCUGUUAUACGCCAGGGACUCCUGACCCUAAAAGAACCGCGGGGAUGAAGACAGCUGGACAGGAGUCGAGCAACCCCCCCGCCCCCCCCCGCCGCCCAGCCCCCCUCCCAAUGUCCCCCCCCUUUCUCCUGUUUACAGCCGAAUUUCCGUCUUCGCAUCGAGAGAAAAUGAGACGCACGCAGAGAGCUCUGCCAUUAGCAGAAAAUGUGGAACAAUGCGAAGGAAUGAUUCCUUUGUUUGAGAGAUUGACAAGGAGAUCCAUACUGACAUUCAAAAUGAAUUACUCACCACAUGCAACACUGCCAAUCUAUACUGUGAAAUGUUUUUUCUUCUUCUUCUUCUUUUUUUCCCCGCAAGAACUAAGGAAUUGAUCGGAAGCUUUCCCUGACAUUAGUGCAGGCACAGAUUUUUAAGAGGCCUAAUCCAACAGGAUAACGCCACUCCUCGCUGUGCUGUAGGGCUACUACCAAUUAGUUGAUCAAUUGACUACUAAAAGCUGCAAUCAACCUUUAAAAAAAAAAGGUGUGCUCGAUUAAUCACUGAGUCACAUGACUGCACUGCUUUUUAAAAUGGUGGAUAGUAGAGCUUGUGAGAGGGAUACAACAAUCCCAGGAAAACUGUAUUGUAUCUGUAAUUGUAUCUGGAAGCAUUUUCCAAAAAAUAGCCAAAUAACCAAAGUAGGCUAUAAAGUGCCUUUGCAAUGCAAUGAAGAAGAAGAAAAGAUUGCUACCUCAUUACCACCUUCCUUGUCCUUUACAAAACGAGUUAAGACAAAGAUUUGUCUGCAUAUUCUUUCUUCUUCUUCGCUAUAGAUUGCUAAUAUAAAUAGCAAUUCAUUAACUCAUUUUCAGAAACAUACCCGACUCUCAAAAUUUCCUACUGUGCUGGUAGUGUGAAGGCGCGCUUUGGGAAGGAGGGGAACUGAGACUGUGAGUUAACAUGGCCGUCAAAAAACUGUUACUGGAGCAACGAUAGCUCGAGCAGAACCCUGGGAGCUUGCGAGAGACCUGUAAGCACCGCGCGAGAUGUGCUGCCGCGGGAACAACGCAUCCACACCUUCCGCGACGGAGGUGUGAAUGUAUCGUUAGUACCGCCUAACGAGGAUCUGCAAAAUGCAAAAAAUCCGUCGCUUGCUGUGUGCAUUAUGGUAAACUAAGAGGUUUGGUUAUUCGGGGCAAUGCGAGAGAAUAGAUGUCUUUUGAGAGCAAUGAGGAAUUAAAAAUGUGAACCGCAUUUUAAUUUUAACAGGCUAUUUGUGUUGUUAUAAAACCACUGAAAAAUGCACUGCUACUUGUUAAUUAAGUAUGAGUCGUUUUUGCGAACAGACAGUGAGUAGGCAGUAAAUGGAUAAUAAGUAUUCCGUUUUAGAGUGUGGAAUUUAUUUGGCAGGAGUGUUUUAGAAAUCUUAGGACCGUUAACGCGUGUGAACGUGCGUUGCGUCCCUGUUUGUGUAGAAUUCGGUACUUUUGUAUUGUGACACCGACAUCAGGCGAAAUGAACGAGCUGUUUCUGUAACUGUCACGAGCAGGUGAUGU